CAGAAAUUGCAGAUAUAGAAACUAUAUAAUAUUGUGGCUGUGUUUUAGAGAGAGAAGCCAAAGGAGAAAGAUAGUGAGAGAGAAAGCUGAUGUUUAUUUGGAGGUGUGGUUUGGUUUUUUGGUUGUCCUUGAACUUUAUUGUGUGGUUUAUUUAAGUUUCGAGGUUCUAGAUAGAGUCUCUUUGGCUUGCUCUGAUAGAGAGAGAGAGAGAGAGAGAGAG
rnacentral:misc_RNA from 1 species